GAGGCUAUGUCACUGCCAGACCUGGAACGGACCAGCACGACUGGUAACGGUGAAGGUGAAGGCUCUUGCUUCGUGUCUCCGCCAGGAUCGCUGUUAAUAUCAGGGGGAGCAUGACCAUUUACAAUCUUCGUAGAAACAGCACGCGUCAAGUCUUUACUAGAGAUCCUAAGCAGCUCUUUAUCGGCUGCUAAGCCCAUGCCUUGAAGGAGACGCUUGCGGCGUUCUUUAAUUGAUCCAGGCGCUGCCAUCCAGAUAUCAUAGUCAGGUGAUAUUACAGC
rnacentral:misc_RNA from 1 species